rnacentral:rRNA from 1 species
AGCGAACGCUGGCGGCGCGCCUAAUACAUGCAAGUCGAGCGAGAAGACGUAGCAAUACGUUUGUAAAGCGGCGAACGGGUGAGGAAUACAUGGGUAACCUACCCUCGAGUGGGGAAUAACUAGCCGAAAGGUUAGCUAAUACCGCGUACGCUCCUUGGACUUCGGUUCAGGGAGGAAAGCGAUACCGUGGGUAUCGCGCUCUUGGAUGGGCUCAUGUCCUAUCAGCUUGUUGGNGAGGUACGGCUCACCAAGGCUUCGACGGGUAGCUGGUCUGAGAGGACGAUCAGCCACACUGGCACUGCGAC